rnacentral:tRNA from 1 species
AAUGAAGUGCCUGAUAAAAGGAUUAUUUUGAUAGAAUAAAUUAUGUUUUUUAACCUUCAUUA